rnacentral:rRNA from 1 species
UACGAAGGGGGCUAGCGUUGUUCGGAAUUACUGGGCGUAAAGCGCGCGCAGGCGGUCCUUCAAGUCAGAGGUGAAAGCCCAGGGCUCAACCCUGGAACUGCCUUUGAAACUGGAGGACUUGAGUACGGGAGAGGUGAGUGGAAUUCCGAGUGUAGAGGUGAAAUUCGUAGAUAUUAGGAAGAACACCAGUGGCGAAGGCGGCUCACUGGCCCGGUACUGACGUUGAGGCGCGAAAGCGUGGGGAGCAAACAGG